GGGCGUCAUCGGGGGUGCCUGGGCAGCCCAGGCUGAGAAACACCCUUUGAACCUGAUGCGGUUUGUACCGCCGUAGGGAGCAUGACGCGGAACCCUC
rnacentral:ncRNA from 2 species